GCGGUGGUAGCUCAGAUGGUAGAGCGAUACACGGUCACAGGUUCAAAUCCUGUUCACCGCACCA
rnacentral:tRNA from 1 species